rnacentral:rRNA from 1 species
CACUAUCGUUAACUGAAUACAUAGGUUAACGAGGCGAACCGGGGGAACUGAAACAUCUAAGUACCCCGAGGAAAAGAAAUCAACCGAGAUUCCCCCAGUAGCGGCGAGCGAACGGGGAGCAGCCCAGAGUCUGAAUCAGCUUGUGUGUUAGUGGAACGGUCUGGAAAGUCCGACGGUACAGGGUGAUAGUCCCGUACACCAAAAUGCACAGGCUGUGAACUCGAAGAGUAGGGCGGGACACGUGGUAUCCUGUCUGAAUAUGGGGGGACCAUCCUCCAAGGCUAAAUACUCCUGACUGACCGAUAGUGAACCAGUACCGUGAGGGAAAGGCGAAAAGAACCCCGGCGAGGGGAGUGAAAAAGAACCUGAAACCGUGUACGUACAAGCAGUGGGAGCACCUUCGGGUGUGACUGCGUACCUUUUGUAUAAUGGGUCAGCGACUUAUAUUCUGUAGCAAGGUUAACCGUAUAGGGGAGCCGCAGGGAAACCGAGUCUUAACUGGGCGUUAAGUUGCAGGGUAUAGACCCGAAACCCGGUGAUCUAGCCAUGGGCAGGUUGAAGGUUGGGUAACACUAACUGGAGGACCGAACCGACUAAUGUUGAAAAAUUAGCGGAUGACUUGUGGCUGGGGGUGAAAGGCCAAUCAAACCGGGAGAUAGCUGGUUCUCCCCGAAAGCUAUUUAGGUAGCGCCUCGUGAAUUCAUCUUCGGGGGUAGAGCACUGUUUCGGCUAGGGGGUCAUCCCGACUUACCAACCCGAUGCAAACUACGAAUACCGAAGAAUGUUAUCACGGGAGACACACGGCGGGUGCUAACGUCCGUCGUGAAGAGGGAAACAACCCAGACCGCCAGCUAAGGUCCCAAAGUCAUGGUUAAGUGGGAAACGAUGUGGGAAGGCACAGACAGCCAGGAUGUUGGCUUAGAAGCAGCCAUCAUUUAAAGAAAGCGUAAUAGCUCACUGGUCGAGUCGGCCUGCGCGGAAGAUGUAACGGGGCUAAACCAUGCACCGAAGCUGCGGCAGCGACACUAUGUGUUGUUGGGUAGGGGAGCGUUCUGUAAGCCUGCGAAGGUGACCUGUGAGGGUUGCUGGAGGUAUCAGAAGUGCGAAUGCUGACAUAAGUAACGAUAAAGCGGGUGAAAAGCCCGCUCGCCGGAAGACCAAGGGUUCCUGUCCAACGUUAAUCGGGGCAGGGUGAGUCGACCCCUAAGGCGAGGCCGAAAGGCGUAGUCGAUGGGAAACAGGUUAAUAUUCCUGUACUUGGUGUUACUGCGAAGGGGGGACGGAGAAGGCUAUGUUAGCCGGGCGACGGUUGUCCCGGUUUAAGCAUGUAGGCUGGUUGUCCAGGCAAAUCCGGAUAAUCAAGGCUGAGGUGUGAUGACGAGGUACUACGGUGCUGAAGUAACAAAUGCCCUGCUUCCAGGAAAAGCCUCUAAGCAUCAGGUAACAUCAAAUCGUACCCCAAACCGACACAGGUGGUCAGGUAGAGAAUACCAAGGCGCUUGAGAGAACUCGGGUGAAGGAACUAGGCAAAAUGGUGCCGUAACUUCGGGAGAAGGCACGCUGGUGUGUAGGUGAAGUCCCUGCGGAUGGAGCUGAGACCAGUCGAAGAUACCAGCUGGCUGCAACUGUUUAUUAAAAACACAGCACUGUGCAAACACGAAAGUGGACGUAUACGGUGUGACGCCUGCCCGGUGCCGGAAGGUUAAUUGAUGGGGUUAUCCGUAAGGAGAAGCUCUUGAUCGAAGCCCCGGUAAACGGCGGCCGUAACUAUAACGGUCCUAAGGUAGCGAAAUUCCUUGUCGGGUAAGUUCCGACCUGCACGAAUGGCGUAAUGAUGGCCAGGCUGUCUCCACCCGAGACUCAGUGAAAUUGAACUCGCUGUGAAGAUGCAGUGUACCCGCGGCAAGACGGAAAGACCCCGUGAACCUUUACUAUAGCUUGACACUGAACAUUGAGCCUUGAUGUGUAGGAUAGGUGGGAGGCUUUGAAGCGUGGACGCCAGUCUGCGUGGAGCCAACCUUGAAAUACCACCCUUUAAUGUUUGAUGUUCUAACGUUGGCCCCUGACCGGGGUUGCGGACAGUGUCUGGUGGGUAGUUUGACUGGGGCGGUCUCCUCCCAAAGCGUAACGGAGGAGCACGAAGGUUAGCUAAUCCUGGUCGGACAUCAGGAGGUUAGUGCAAUGGCAUAAGCUAGCUUGACUGCGAGCGUGACGGCGCGAGCAGGUGCGAAAGCAGGUCAUAGUGAUCCGGUGGUUCUGAAUGGAAGGGCCAUCGCUCAACGGAUAAAAGGUACUCCGGGGAUAACAGGCUGAUACCGCCCAAGAGUUCAUAUCGACGGCGGUGUUUGGCACCUCGAUGUCGGCUCAUCACAUCCUGGGGCUGAAGUAGGUCCCAAGGGUAUGGCUGUUCGCCAUUUAAAGUGGUACGCGAGCUGGGUUUAGAACGUCGUGAGACAGUUCGGUCCCUAUCUGCCGUGGGCGCUGGAGAAUUGAGGGGGGCUGCUCCUAGUACGAGAGGACCGGAGUGGACGCAUCACUGGUGUUCGGGUUGUCAUGCCAAUGGCACUGCCCGGUAGCUAAAUGCGGAAGAGAUAAGUGCUGAAAGCAUCUAAGCACGAAACUUGCCCCGAGAUGAGUUCUCCCUGAGACUUUAAGUCUCCUGAAGGAACGUUAAAGACGAUGACGUUGAUAGGCCGGGUGUGUAAGCGCAGCGAUGCGUUGAGCUAACCGGUACUAAUGAACCGUGAGGCUUAACCUU